GAUGCUGAAACAAAGGACAGUGAGAGUGAAUCAGAUGAUGAUGACACAGCACUCACAAUGUCGGCGUGUGGCACCAGUGAGCCUGUACAUGCAGUAGCUGAUUCCACAAACACAGCGCAGCUCCAAGACACUGUAGAUUGUGCAGAUGAAGAACCACUCAUAAUGCCUGCAGCAAGUGAGACUGCUGCUCCCUCUGAAGAUAAAAAUGCUGCUCAAUCCCACAAUUCCCGAAGAGCUCCCAAAAACAUGUGGUCCAAGGCUGAGGUUGCUGCAGUGAUGAGGCAUUUUAAAGACCACAUAAACGAAGGGAAACUGGCCACCAAAAAUGAAUGCAGUCAUUGCAAAUUGGUAGAAGAUCCGAUGUUGGCAGGAAGAACAGUUCAAAACAUAAGAGAUUUUGUAAGAAACAGAGGAUUAACUGCAAAAA